CUGUUGUGUUGCAGACAUCAAUGAGUGUGGACCACCCUUGGCGGUGUCCUGUGGAAAAUUUGCUGACUGCCAGAAUGUGGACGGGAGCCACUACUGCACAUGUAGCCCAGGAUAUGGCCUCGUUUCUGGGGCAACAACGUUCAGAAACGAGAGUGAGAACACGUGUCAAGACGUGGACGAAUGUCAGCAGAAACCCAGAAUCUGUAAAGGCCGCAGUGUCUGCAUCAACACCCUGGGCAGCUACACCUGCACGUGCCCGCCCGGCUUGGAGCUCAACCCAAAGGACCCGAAUCUGUGCACAGAUGUGAAUGAAUGUGCCUCGGGGCACAAUCCCUGCCACA